GCUUGUCUCAAAGAUUAAGCCAUGCAUGUCUAAGUACAAGCCUCAGUAAGGUGAAACCGCGAAUGGCUCAUUAAAUCACACCUAAUCUACUGGAAAGUUACUAGUUACUUGGAUAACUGAGGUAAUUCUAGAGCUAAUACGUGCGUAAAUCCCGACUCCUGGAAGGGACGUAUUUAUUAGAUUUAAGGCCAACCGAGCUUGCUCGUCUCUUGGUGAAUCAUGAUAACUUCACGAAUCGCAUGGCCUCGCGCCGGCGAUAUUUCAUUCAAAUUUCUGCCCUAUCAAUUGGCGAUGGUAGGAUAGAGGCCUACCAUGGUGUUAACGGGUGACGGGGGAUUAGGGUUCGAUUCCGGAGAGGCAGCCUGAGAAACGGCUACCACAUCCAAGGAAGGCAGCAGG
rnacentral:rRNA from 1 species